rnacentral:lncRNA from 8 species
CCACUUGAAGAUCAGACUUCAGCAGAAUCAGCAUCAGUCAUGGCCACAUACAUGGACGUGUCUUUCCAGAGCAGCUUCAAGACUCAACAUGUUCAACACGCAAGAUGCGUUCUCACGUGUUUGGAGAGAAAGUGUGGCAGCAGCUUGGAGAAGCUCAGAUGUGCUGUCGGAGAGUAUCUUCAGGCCUCAGAUCUGCUGGAGAGAGCCGUGUCUUUCCUCACGCUCAGAAGAGUCUUACUGUCUCAUGACGGAUACUCCAAAUAUUCCAGAGAAAUCCUGCGGCUGUUUCCCGACCAUGCAGAGGAUGUAGCAGCGUUACUGUCUGAAGAAUGAACACCGGAUACUGAAACACUCAGACUGAACAUCAAGAAGCCUUUAAAGAAAUGUACAGUUGAAGUCAGAAUAAUUCGCCCUCCUGUGAAAUAUUUCCUAAAUGAUGUUUAACAGAGCAAGGAAUUUCUCACAGUAUUUCCUAUAAUAUUUUUUCUUCUGGAGAAAGUCUUAUUUCUUUUAUUUUGGCUAGAAUAAAAGCAGUUUUAAAUUUUUUAAACACAAUUUUAAGGUCCAAAUUUUUAGCCCCCUUAAGCAAUAUUUGCUUUCUAUUAUCUACAGUACAAACCCCUGUUGUACAAUGACUUGCCUAAUUAACCUAAUUAAGCCUUUAAGUGCCACUUUAAGCUGAAUACUAGUAUCUGAAUAUCUAGUCAAAUAUUAUUUACUGUCAUUAUGACUAAGAUAAAAUAAAUCAGUUAUUAGAGAUGAGUUAUUAAACUAUUAUGAUUAGAAAUGUGUUGAAACAUAUCUUCUCUCUGUUAAACAGAAUUAUACAGGAGGGCUAAUAACUCUGUCUUCAACUGUUUAUAAAACACAGAUGCCUUAAUUUGAGUUUAUUUUCUUGCUUCAAAGAAUAUUUUUAUACUUUUUUGUUUUUACAAAUGCUCAGUUUUAUGCAUUGUGUGCAUUAUUAUUAGCAGUUGCACUGCCUUAUAGCUCUUUUGUUUGUAAAUGUGAUGCUUUAUGCUGAUAUUUGUUUAAUAUGCAUAAAGAAAUUGAAACCAAAACUCCUCUAAAUGGGAGUAAAUGUUUUUUUAUAUCAGUAUUGUGAUUUAACAAUGAUCCUAUUAUUCUUAAUGAGGAUCUCAAGCCAUACAUCUGGACGACAGUCCAAAAUAAAAUAUGAUUUUAUACGAU